GGCAGGCCUAACACAUGCAAGUCGAGCGAAUGACGAGAAGCUUGCUCCUUGAUUCAGCGGCGGAACGGGUGAGUAAUGCCUAGGAAUCUGCCUGGUAGUGGGGGACAACGUUUCGAAAGGAACGCUAAUACGCAUACGUCCUACGGGAGAAAGCAGGGGACUUUCGGGCCUUGCGCUAUCAGAUGAGCUAGGUCGGAUUAGCUAGUAGGUGAGGUAAUGGCUCACCUAGGCGACGAUCCGUAACUGGUCUGAGAGGAUGAUCAGUCACACUGGAACUGAGACACGGUCCAGACUCCUACGGGAGGCAGCAGUGGGGAAUAUUGGACAAUGGGCGAAAGCCUGAUCCAGCCAUGCCGCGUGUGUGAAGAAGGUCUUCGGAUUGUAAAGCACUUUAAGUUGGGAGGAAGGGCAGUAAGUUAAUACCUUGCUGUUUUGACGUUACCGACAGAAUAAGCACCGGCUAACUCUGUGCCAGCAGCCGCGGUAAUACAGAGGGUGCAAGCGUUAAUCGGAAUUACUGGGCGUAAAGCGCGCGUAGGUGGUUCGUUAAGUUGGAUGUGAAAGCCCCGGGCUCAACCUGGGAACUGCAUCCAAAACUGGCGAGCUAGAGUAUGGUAGAGGGUGGUGGAAUUUCCUGUGUAGCGGUGAAAUGCGUAGAUAUAGGAAGGAACACCAGUGGCGAAGGCGACCACCUGGACUGAUACUGACAUAGGUCGAAG
rnacentral:rRNA from 1 species